rnacentral:lncRNA from 1 species
GAAAACAGAGGUGGGGGUGUCUGGUGAAGUGGACCUUGCUGCCUGCCUAACAGACGAACUGCACCUGCCUGGGAGCCCUACCUCUUCAGUAUCUCCCCCAAACACGCCCAGACACCUAAGCAGAUAGGAAUGUCAAGAUCUUCAGUGAAAACUGUUUUGGUGAUGGAAGACAGCCACCAGGAAACCCUGCCGAAAGAAUGGGUCAGAUCAAUAAUCUGAGCGGUCCCAGUCCUCCUCCAAUGGCUGAUGGAUGAGGAAGUCAAAUCUGCUGCUUCAAGGAUCAAAGUCUAUGUCCACUGAGGGUGUUUGGAGAAUGUGUUGCAAUCUCUGAAGGCAAUCCCAAGAGAGGCAUUCCAGAGAGGUUUUCAGCCAGGGGUGGCCCAGCAGGAAGUCACUCUGAAAACUCAGGUUUACACAACAUCUACUUGUACAAUCAAGCACACACUCUCAGGCUGCAUGAAGUACUGUCGCAGACAGGACUGCAAACCCUCUCAGGGCCCUGGGGUUCCCCUAAACCAGACCGUGAGCCUCUUGAGACGGCGGAUCCCCAACAGUGCCCAGAACCUGGGAAGGAG